CUUGGUAUUGUCUCUCGAGUAUGAUCAUUUGCUUCUGGUCGUCGGUAGGAGUGGGGAUUCUUCGUCAUUUUUUACUAUUGCGGUUCUUCUAGUUAUGAAUAUGGUCUAGAUAUGUAUAUAGAUGUUGGAGUGCCGGUUCCUGAGUGUCGUCCCACCUUCUUAUCCCUCUUAGUAUAGUCGUGAUUGAUUUCAAAGUGUCGUUCUAAGUCCUAGUUUGUUCUUAUUCAUCGUGAAUCUGUAAUAACGAAUGAGUAUUUGACGUCGUGUCCUUCGUUCUUUCACCUCAAGUUGAAGGUACGAGGCAAGACAUCAAUAUUUCAAAUUAUUAGUGUUUUAUAUUUGUUGCCUUGAAUUUAUAGCUGAUUAUUUCUACCUUGUUGAUUCCCUUUCAUGCUCUGUUUAUUCGCAAUAUGGCUUGUAUGUGAUAAAUUAGUCAUGUUUCACAUUUGGUUUGAGAUAAAAAUCUUUUCAAAAUAUAUUGGCGUCUUGUUCUUGUAUGUGCUUUGAAGCACGAGUUGUGUGCUUUUCCUCUUUGUAAGGGUUUGCGGGGAUUGAGUCUCAUGUCAGAAAUAUUUUGGCCCUGCAAAUUGAGUUUUAAUUUGUUUGCGUCUGGCUUUGAAUGUGUGCUUCUGUAUGCAAAUCCGUGUUGAAGCUUACUACAAUUCUCUGUAUGCCCAUGCUUGCCCUUUUUCUAUUUUAUUAUUAUUUAUUCACUUGUUGUAUUUUUUAUUUUACUUAUUUGUUCAUCCUUUUACUCUUUUUUUUUUCUGAAAAUGCCAAAAAAAAAAACAAAGUAAAAAAAAAAAUAAUAAAAAAAAAUCACAUCUCUUAUUCAUUGUCAAAUUCCAGCGGGCAGUAGCAUUAUUUGGUUAAUUUCGCCUACUACUUUGUUCAACUUGCUUAAGCCUAUUCUAUAUAUGGAUUUAUUAUUCUCUUUGCUAAGUUUCACAUUGCAUUUUUAAUGACAUCAACUUCAAUGGUCUCCCCCAUUUUGUUAUUGAAAAAUUGUUUUCUUCGUCCGCAUCUUUAUCCAAGUGAUUAUGCUCAAAUCCAUUCCGCUUGAUCACUGCUAAUUUAAUAGUUUAGUUAUCACUAUUAUUUGAUGUCUUACUCAUCAUGUGGGGAUCAAUUUAGUUUAAGUAAAAGUCCAUUAAACAUUGUAUGCACAUUUUGUCAUCUUGCAUUAAUAUGGGCGGUGAAUUGAUAGCAUGCCUACUUUGCCUUAUGUCAUUUUUUUAUAUGUCUUAGUCCUAUUAUAUAGAUUCAAGGUGUGCU
rnacentral:lncRNA from 1 species